UGCCCCUAUAAUUCUAGUUUUAGUUGAUUUCCCAGUUGAUUUCAUUCUACUUGAAAGAGCAAUAGCUACAGGGGAGGAUCACAGGAACUUUUAUUAACCAGAGAGUAUGUAUGAAGCCCACUGUUGGUUCUUACAACAGCCCUAGAAAAAAGUGGAUAAGCUCCCAGAGACUUCAGGAAACCGGUGGUCGCCCAAUGCCAUGUAACUAAUAAAAGAUAGAAUCCAGGGGCACCUGGGUGGCUCAGUGGGUUAAAGCCUCUGCUUUCGGCUCGGGUCAUGGUCUCAGGGUCCUGGGAUCGAGCCUCGCAUCAGGCUCUCUGCUCAGCGGCGACCUACUUCCUCCUCUCUCUCUCUCUCUGCCUGCCUCUCUGCUUACUUGUGAUCUCUGUCUGUCAAAUAAACAAAUAAGAUCUUUUAAAAAAAAGAAAAGAAGUAAAAGAAAAAAAGAGAUAGAAUCCAGUUUGAAGUCCAAUGAGCUUAGCUCCUGUUUUUCUCUAAGAGGCGUAUUUUGGAAGGCCAACCUCAACAUGAGAGACAGAAAUACCAUGGAAAAAAUAGAGUUGACUACUCACUUAAGAGUCUGUAACAAGGUUGGAGCCACAGGGCUGUUGCUGAAGACCAUGAUUCAUUCAUUCCUUUCUGUCGCCUGGCUUAUUAUCCGGUCUCAAGACUGCUAUAACUUUUGGGAUUGGGGGAAAAAAGCUCGAGUCCAUGCAAUGGUCACAUCUCUAGUUUCUGAGAUGCCUACUUCACACAUAAUGGGGGAGAUACGAGCAGGAGGAUUGUGUGUAAUCAUGGACAAUCCCCCACUGUGCCAAGGUGGACUCAGGAACCCCAGGGAGAGGUUUUAGAAAAUCAGACUCUGAAAAACAAAACAAAACAACAACAACAACAACAAACAGAUCCUGGGGUUCUGGAAGCUGAAAGUGCUUGGCAGGAAUGAAAGUACUUGAUACUUCCAUUCCUGUCUCUGGAAGGAGUCCCAGGAUUUGUUGGAAUUGGGUCAAGUAAAGAGGGGCUCGUUAGUGAUAAUGACGACGACACACCUCCACUCCUCCACCUAGAGAACCUUCUUAGCCUUCCCCAUACACACUCUCCUGUAAAGAACUCCCUUCCACUUCGGCUUUGCUGGGGUCCUCAGAUUUCACAAAUGAAGAUUUCAGGUCCCUCCUGUCUCAGGACUGAGACCAUUUUUUGUUGCAGGCUGGGAGCUGGCAGUAUAACUUCAAGGCCAGAACGCGUGUGGCUUCCUUAAGAACGUGCCUGCCGCGUGGAGCAGACUUCUCCACUCCAGCUUCAGCCCCACGGGCUUCACCAGAAUUGCUCUCUCUGUGCUCACCAGUACCCUCCAUGUCACCCAUGCCAGGAGUAUUUCGGAGUCCUCAUCUGGGCUGACACACUCCUCAGGGGACCGUCUGAGAAUCCUUCUCUUGCACAUGAAAGAAAACCCAGCUCAAAUUGUAGUAAACGAAGGAGAUUGCAUUUCUGCAGAACGUCAGAAAAUAGAAAUCCUGUUUUUCACUUGUGCCCAAUUCUUUCUACAAAAAAGUAAACAUGAAGGUAAGGUAUUUUUUCAUUGUUAAUAUAAAUGUUACCUAUUGCAUCUUCAUUUUGAUGUGUGAAUGAAAUUAUGUUCUAAUUAUUAAUGAAGGAAAUACAUAUGAUCAUCACUGCCUUUCAGGUUGUCC